GGGAAAGUGGCUCAGUGGUAGAGCACUUGCCUUGCAUGCAUGAGGCCCUGGGUUCGAAUCCUCAGCACCA
rnacentral:tRNA from 1 species